UCCGUAGGGGGCAAGCGUUAUCCGGAUUUACUGGGUGUAAAGGGAGCGUAGGUGGUUCGGUAAGUCAGAUGUGAAAGCCCGGGGCUCAACCCCGGGACUGCAUUUGAAACUAUCGGACUGGAGUACAGGAGAGGUAAGUGGAAUUCCUAGUGUAGCGGUGAAAUGCGUAGAUAUUAGGAGGAACACCAGUGGCGAAGGCGGCUUACUGGACUGUAACUGACACUGAGGCUCGAAAGCGUGGGGAGAAAACAGG
rnacentral:rRNA from 1 species